rnacentral:misc_RNA from 1 species
AACAAGGCGUACCUGCGGACCUGCGGAGGGAUCAUUACAUGGCGGAGAAGGUGGGCACCUGGCAAACUCCAGGUUGUGAUGCCUUCACGCUCUUCCACCCUUGUCUAUUUGCACCUUCUGUCGUUCCCUCGGCGGGUUUCGACCCGCCGGCGGCAACAUUGAAAAACCUUUUUUGCAGUCAGCAUCCAAUUCUUCUGAUCAAAAUAUCAAAUCGUUACAACUUUUAACAAUGGAUCUCAG